rnacentral:rRNA from 1 species
GACGAACGCUGGCGGCGUGCUUAACACAUGCAAGUCGAACGGAAAGGCCCUGCUUUUGUGGGGUGCUCGAGUGGCGAACGGGUGAGUAACACGUGAGUAACCUGCCCUUGACUUUGGGAUAACUUCAGGAAACUGGGGCUAAUACCGGAUAGGAGCUCCUGCUGCAUGGUGGGGGUUGGAAAGUUUCGGCGGUUGGGGAUGGACUCGCGGCUUAUCAGCUUGUUGGUGGGGUAGUGGCUUACCAAGGCUUUGACGGGUAGCCGGCCUGAGAGGGUGACCGGCCACAUUGGGACUGGGAUACGGCCCAGACUCCUACGGGAGGCAGCAGUGGGGAAUAGUGCACAAUGGGCGGAAGCCUGAUGCAGCAACGCCGCGUGCGGGAUGACGGCCUUCGGGUUGGAAACCGCUUUCGCCUGUGACGAAGCGUGAGGGACGGUAAUGGGUAAAGAAGCACCGGCUAACUACGU